ACCCUCUGACAUCUCCUUCAACAUCGGUAACAUUCAGAAUUAUACCCUGACAUCUCCUUCAACAUCACCUGUACAUCACAGAACAUUAUUUUGUUCAACAUCAAUUGUCACCUGUUUAGCCUAGCUACUUCAGCAUAUAUUAUUUGCAACUCUCCAUAUCUCCAUAUAUUAACUGCAGCUCUCCACAUAUUAACUUCUCCCCCUUUUUAGUCAAAAUAGACCAAAGUGACCAAUUAGACAAAAUAAAU
rnacentral:lncRNA from 1 species